AUGCUCUUUGCGGAUGAUGUGGUGCUAGUUGAUGAUAGUCAGACGGGGGUAAAUAGGAAGUUCGAGUUAUGGAGACAAACCUUGGAAUCGACAGGGUUUAGGCUUAGUAGAACUAAAACCGAGUACAUGAUGUGCGGUUUCAGUACUACUAGCUGUGAGGAGGAGGAGGUUAGCCUUGAUGGCCAGGUGGUACCUCGGAAGGACACCUUUCGGUAUUUGGGGUCAAUGUUGCAGGAGGAUGGGGGUAUUGAUGAAGAUGUGAACCAUCGAAUCAAAGCCGGAUGGAUGAAGUGGCGCCAAGCUUCUGGCAUUCUCUGUGACAAGAGAGUGCCACAAAAGCUAAAAGGCAAGUUCUACAGGACGACGGUUCGACCCGCAAUGUUGUAUGGCGCGGAGUGUUGGCCGACUAAAAGGCGACAUGUUCAACAGUUAGGUGUGGCAGAGAUGCGUAUGUUGAGAUGGAUGUGUGGCCACACAAGGAAGGAUCGAGUCCGGAAUGAUGAUAUACGAGAUAGAGUUGGGGUAGCACCAAUUGAGGAGAAGCUUGUCCAACAUCGUUUGAGAUGGUUUGGGCAUAUUCAGCGCAGGCCUCCAGAAGCUCCAGUGCAUAGCGGACGGCUAAAGCGUGCGGAGAAUGUCAAGAGCGGGCGGGGUCGACCGAUUUUGACAUGGGAGGAGUCCGUUAAGAGAGACCUGAAGGAUUGGAGUAUCGACAAAGAGCUAGCUAUGGACAGGGGUGCGUGGAAGCUUGCUAUCCAUGUGCCAGAGCCAUGA
rnacentral:rRNA from 1 species